CCUGGUGGUGUAACAGUUAAACGCUCGGCUGCUACCUGAAAGGCUGGUGGUUCAAAUCCACCCAGCAGGU
rnacentral:tRNA from 1 species